GAAUAUUCUGGAGGCACGGCAGGCGAGUAAUCUGGCAAGCUGACCGCAGCCACACCGCGAGACAACCGACGAAUUUUAGCGAAAUUCUGACCCGAACCGGGAUUAACAUCGCGUUUUGAUGCCAAAACAUCAGUGGGAAAGUGCCACCAAUGGACUUCAAUCAUUGACGAUCUCAUUUGAGAGCUGAUAAUGAUGAAGAUGAAGCUGCGUACGGCGGGAGGCGAAAAUCACCGAUGCGACUUGAGUUUGGUUAACGGAACCGAUCGCUCGGCUUGUCGCGAGGGCGGCACCGGAGCGCCUCCGCUCGAUAAGGAGACUGUGUUCGAGUGGUUCGGCUUACGGCUGAGCCCUGCCGGACGCAUCGAGCUGCUCUGCGGGCUACUGCAUAUGUGUCAGCCGCUGGAGCUGCGUUUCCUCGGCGCCUGUCUUGAGGAUCUGGCCCGAAAAGACUUCACCUUCCUGCGGGACUUCGAGACCCGGGCCAACUUCCCCGCGGAUCUAGAGGGGCUGGUGGACGUGGGCGACCCCGUGGUGCUGUCCAAGCUGCUCGUUUAUUUGUCCCUCCUCGGAUCCAAGAGCAGAGAAUGUGCGGGGAUAUUAUUCAGGACGCUGAGCCGAAUAAACGCGGGGAUGUGCGGGGCUCUACCGGAGCCGGAUACGGUUGACCAGCUGCGGCUGCUCUACACGAUGGGCUCGUUACACCCGGCGUUCAGCUUUCAUCAGCGGGAAGAGCUACGAGCGCAGCUGGAAAGACUCCAGGGAUGGAUUCAGUUUUCCAGUCCCGGGUUCCUCUGUCCACACCAGGAGAAUGAAGUGGACUGGACUCUGUGCAGCGAUCCGAAUCCACACCUCAGCAGCAGGUCACAGAGAGAAGUGGUGCACAUUGAGAAGAUCAUUCUGAAGGAGAUUUGUGUGGCAGGAGACAGCAGGCAGUACACUUUUGAGGUAAAAUGGUCAGACGCUUCAUCCACCACUGUCAGCAAAAGUCAUUGUGAAUUAGAGGACUUUCUGUUAAAGCUUCCUAAGGAGCAGAGCCCUGAUGGCUUUGAGAAAAGCAUUGUCAGGAUAUUAAGUCGAGCAGAUCAAUGUGAGUCCAGAGAACUGGAGAGAAAUCUCAGGGAGAAGUUUUUGUCUUUAUCACAGGAGGUUCUCCAGAGGUGUGACGUCUCCACGUUCUUCAUGUCUGAUCCAUCUUUACGGCCCUGCAGCCACUGUACCAGAGCACCUGUAUCCAGAAUCCAUCAGCCUGCACGUGGUUUCUCUGAAGACUGUUCGGAGACCUCCAGUCUGGAAGAAGACGUGGAGGGUUACAGAGUCAGAGCCACGGGUCCGAGUCAUCAGCAUUCAGAAAGCCAGAGAAGAGGAAACUGUGAGCAGAACGGGGAGAGAGUUUGGAUGAAAGAAAGCGAACUAGAACCGAGCUGCACAAAUGACAGAAGAAUCCCGACGCCCGGACAGAAGAGCAAAGUGAGAGCUGCUAACAAAAGAAAUAAGAAAGUCAUUCAGGUUUGGAACAGCAAGUUUAACAGGGAGCGAGGCCGAAGGGUGACCAGCGCAAAGAGUUGUGCUGGGAUCCAGAAACCUUCUGCAACACUCGUCAUCAACCAGACGGCUUGCAAAGACACUGGAAGGGUCAGAUAUGGAGACACAUCCUCGGAUAGCUCCAACUCCGUGCCAUCAAGCCCUGUUCACCACAAGAGCCUGGAGGAGCAAGACACAGAGAGUCAGUCCGACAACUCUGCUCAGGAACCGUCUGAAAAAACUCACCUCGCCAAAAGCAUUGGCGGGAAAGCGGUUGCCAUGGUGAAUCCGUUAGUCGCUGAACCUAAGAGCGUCCCGCAGCCUCCUUCGAUGGUAGAGUUGACCGCUCGCUUCCCCUGCGGCCUGCAGUACAACCCGACCCAGAGAGACGCCAGCGAGGGCAAGAUAACCAUAACCAUCCCGCUGGUCAGAGACGCAGUAACGUCUGCCAGCACACAGACACAGCAGCAACCCCCGCCGGGUCAUCUGCAGCCAGGAAACAGCACUGCCAGCAAUCCGAUCAAAACAAAUGCCAAGGCUUCCAACAAUGCCACCGCUUCCAGCGCAAGCUCAUGCCCUCUCUCCACUAGCCAAAUCCCGGGACCUUGUCCCACGAGCGUGCACGCCCCGGGGCCAGCACCCCUGCCGCCCCCCGCCGUCACGCACAGCACGGCUCAGAGCGAUUCCUUGUCUUACAUCAACACCUCAAACCCGCCGGUCACGGCGCAGACGCAGGCCAGCGGGACGGGCUGCAACGCAUGCGGCUGCCGCGGUAGUUGCAGCGGAAACGUCGCCCAUCAAACGCUAGGCUACUUCCUGCCUCCCCAACAUGCUCGUCAGAUGUUUGUUCCCCCGCCUACGUUCUUCAACCUCCCGCCUUCAAGUUUUCCCGCUCAGGGCCACCAGAGUAACGGGACGCCUUUGACGUUUUACUCUCCCGGGGCUUUUCUCCACCCUCAUUCGGACCACAUGUUGGCCACGCAAGCGGGAUACAACCUGCCUCAAAUGCAGCAUUUUCGACGCUUCUACCAACCUCAACCCAUCUUUUCGCCGGUCGGCCUGCUGUCGGGUGGAAACAACGUUAAGAAGGUCACCAACGCUUCCUGUUACAACUGCGGAAUGACCGGACAUUACGCCCCGGAUUGCAAGCAGCCGUCCAUCGAUGCCGGACUGACAGGUAACAUCAGGGUCUGGAGAUGAUGAUGAUGAUGAUGUUUUAGGUCAGAAACAUAUUCUACCUAAGGAAACAAACACCGAUGUGGGUUCCGGCUAAAGUACGUGGGGCCGAACUCCUCAGAUGCGGUAGACAAAAAUGAUUGACAGCAAGCAGAGGACCGAUUUCCAGUGAUGCAUACAUUCAUGCUCGCAUUAGCAUCCUAAAAGAAAAGAGCCAAGAGGAAGAGUUUUGGACACACACUGAUAAAACGACAAGUCGACAGUGUUUACUUUAAGACUUCUCUUAAACGGCGGCUGGCUAAUAGUUGAUUUGUUUUAGGUUAAGUAUAAAUACUUUUUUAUGCAAACCGAUAUCGUCAGCGGCGCCUGAUGGACACGAAUAGGAAAAAUGAAACUUGAGUCCUUUAGUGCAGUAUUUGGUUAUUUUAUUGAGAAAGAGAAGAUAAAAUACUGUAAUAUUUUGUAAGUUGUUAUUUAGUUACAGCUUUGUAGGUGCCGGUUUGCUUCGUUCUCGUUCUGAACACGAUGCACUACAGCCUUCGUUCUCUGAAUAAUGUGAGUGAGGUAUUUGAAAUGCACUGAAACAGCCAGGUUUGUCACAAACUCUGACCACUAGAGGGCGCAAGAGUUCCCCCUGCACCUUUAGGCCAUAAGAACUCAAACCCAGUGCUUUCUGGGAUGUAUGCUUACUCGGGUUAGAUUCAAACAAUAUACAUAUUCAAUCUAAACCUAAAGCACUGUUCCAGAAUUGUAUUUCGAGAGUCGCAAGACGCUCUCUAACCAACAGGGAAGGGAAAAGGAAAAUAUUGUCUUGAUUUCACAUAAUUCUAGAACAACGAGCAUUUACGUUGCUUGUGUGUGGUGAAAUAGUUUUCUGCUAGUUGUAAAGAGGGGUUUGACAUUUGUGCCUAUUGUCAUGCGAACACUUACGUGUGCGUGUUGAAAAUAAUUUAGCAAGGUCUUAAUUCUGUGUUAUAAAUAUAUAUAUAUUUCAAAUAUCAAAGUUAUAAUUUCGAAAUGGCCAAAGCUUCUCUUUUUAUAUGAAGAUUUGGCAUGUUUGUAUUGAGAAAAGCAAGUAUUUUAUUUUGAUAUUUUCGAGGACAGUUCGAGACCUUGGCCUGGUUUAUUUAAGCACAUUUUAUCACUACCUGCGUUGUGUAAAGGCAAACUUGCUUUCUAUCCAUUACAGUGGAUUGUGUUGCAGGUUUUUAAAUGUGCUUGGUUUAGUUUGGUUAAAUGAGGACUGUAAAUUGACACUAAUGGGGGGUUUAAUGCUCAAAGCUAAACCCCCAAAAAACUUGAGCGUAUUCGUUACACUUUUUUUUAUAGAUUUAUGAAGCUGUACUGUAUGGAUGAGGUUUUCCUCAGAGUUUACGUUUACUGUAUUUCAUAUUUCAAAUGUUUAAUAAUCUGUACUGAAAGUCAAAUUAAUCGGAUCACAUUUGUAUUUUUUUGGCAAAGUGUCCCAUUUAUGUCAAAAUAUUAGCAAUAAAUGAAAAACAAACCCA